GCCUGGGUGGCUCAGUCAGUUGAGCAUGGGACUUCAGCUCAGGUCAUGAUCUCACAGUCCGUGGGUUUGAGCCCCGCAUCAGGCU
rnacentral:tRNA from 1 species